rnacentral:rRNA from 1 species
UACGUAGGUCCCGAGCGUUGUCCGGAUUUAUUGGGCGUAAAGCGAGCGCAGGUGGUUUAUUAAGUCUGGUGUAAAAGGCAGUGGCUCAACCAUUGUAUGCAUUGGAAACUGGUAGACUUGAGUGCAGGAGAGGAGAGUGGAAUUCCAUGUGUAGCAGUGAAAUGCGUAGAUAUAUGGAAGAACACCGGUGGCGAAAGCGGCUCUCUGGCCUGUAACUGACACUGAGGCUCGAAAGCGUGGGGAGCAAACAGG